rnacentral:lncRNA from 1 species
CUUAGUCAAUUUAUUCGGUAUGAAUCUGGAUUAGCUGAAUCAAUAGAUGUCAAGAAAAGGGUAAGAAAUAUAUAUCUUUUUAAUUUUUUAAAGCAAAAAAAAAAAAAGAAUAUCGCAAGGGGCUUCUCAAAAAAAUAAAUAUUCGAUAGGUACUAUCUCAUAGGUAUUUUGAUGAUAAGACUGACGACUGUACGAUUCUAUACCAAGUUAACAGAGUUUGAUGGAAAUAAAGUGGAGUUUUUUGGAAGAUGAAGGAAUUGAAA